AACACACCUCUGCUGUCAGGGGGCGGAGCCUCAGGUGGGUCCCAUUAAAGUUCUGGAGAAUCGGUCCGGUUCUCCAGUUCGCUCCCACUGGGUUUGUGUGAACAGAAGGAGAAGCAAAGAUCUGAUCAGAUAAAAGAUGGCGCAGCAGCAGGAAGUCCAGCAGGAUUUCAAGGAAAAACUGUUCAAGGUUUGCCCUGAGUUUGUGGAGAAAGUUUCUGAGGAAAUCCUGAUUCAGCUCCUCGAUGGUCUU